GAAGAACUCGGCGGCGAAGGUGACCACGUCCUCCGGCUGGCGCAGCAGCAGGAAGAGCAGGAAGUCGGAGAUGAGCGCGUGGGCUUCGGGGUGCUGCCGCAGAUAGCUGGCGUGGCCGAGCCGGAGCUCCUCCUGGCAGGGGACAGAGCCCGAGCCUCAGCCGGACGGGACCCCCGCGCCCCAGGAGCCCCCAGCCGCUCGCUCCAAGGAGAGCUAAGGGGCGCUGGAGCCUUCUAGCCCCUACGGGUGUGCAUUUCAAUCAGGUGCAGAGAUCAGUAAUGAAUUUAAGGCCCAUGGGGGAAUGGGAACCCCAGGCUGGUGGAGCCUCCCCUCACCUUCCGGUCCAGGAACUUCGAAUAGAGCUCCAUAUCCUCCUCCCAUACCAGGGGCUUCUUCUCAAACACUGGGCGUGGCUCAAUCUCAUCUAGGUGGGGAACAAGGAAGGCUGGGCGUCCCUACCCCGGAACCUUCCUUGGAUACACAGCGAGAUCCCGAGAACACCCAAACAGAAGGCUCAGGUGAAACCCCAGGAUUCUGCCCACAUGGGCAGAGUUGCAGGAAGGGACUUCCAGUAGGAAAGAUCCUCCUCUUAUUGCUUGGGGUCAGGGGCUGGAGGGCAGAUGUUCUCCAGCUGAUUCCAGGCUCCUGUCCCGUUUACAGCACACUGGGUCCAGCCCCCUGCAUCCUGGAAGGCCCAGGUUUCCCCACUCCCCUUAACUCUCCCUGCCUGCACAAGGCCUGGGCUUCACUCACCCUCUUCCCUCAAGAUGGGCAUCUUGGUGAUGAUGCAGCACCCUGGGGAGCCCACCUGUAUUCUCUUGGCCAGGUGCCUGGAGUGCAACACAACAUGUGAGAGUGAGAAUCUUCCCAGACCGCCUGCUAUGGACUGAAUUGUCUCUCUAACCCCCAGUGUGGUGGUAUUUGGAGAAAGGCCAUGUGAGGACACAUUGAGAAGGCACUUGUCUGCAAGCUAGGAAGACAGCCCUCACCAGAAACCAACCCUGAUGGCACCAUGAUCUUGGACUUCCUGCCUUCCAGCAAAUAUAUUUCUCUUGAAGCC
rnacentral:lncRNA from 1 species